UACGAAGGGGGCUAGCGUUGCUCGGAAUCACUGGGCGUAAAGGGUGCGUAGGCGGGUUUUUAAGUCAGAUGUGAAAUCCCCGGGCUUAACCUGGGAACUGCGUUUGAAACUGGAAGGCUAGAGUGUGGCAGAGGGGGGUGGAAUUCCACGUGUAGCAGUGAAAUGCGUAGAUAUCAGGAGGAACACCGAUGGCGAAGGCAGGUCUCUGGGCUGACACUGACGCUCAUGCACGAAAGCGUGGGGAGCAAACAGG
rnacentral:rRNA from 1 species